rnacentral:lncRNA from 1 species
GUGUGUCUGAGCAGCAGCCGGUAGUGAGCCCUGUGCAGAAACACACACUACAGAUGGAAUCAAUACAGCUCUGCUCCCAUUCAAGGUGAAACCAAAUAAACCUGUCCAGAAGCUAUGAGAUAUAGACCAUGUGGUACAGCAGGACCAAUGAGAGCUGUCUUUAUACAACCAUUAAACACCCUUCCCAUUCGCUCACAACCCACCGACCAGCUAGCUUCUCACAAAUCAAAUCAAAUGUUAUUUUUGUCACAUGCUUCGUAAACAAGACUAACAGUGAAAUACUUACGGGUCCUUUUUCAACAACGCAGAGAGAAAGAAAAUAGAGAGAUAAUAGAAAAGCAAUAACAAGUAAUAAUAACUUGUUUGUAUACAAGUAGUACCAAGUCCCUCUCUCCCACCUUAUGUCACAACAACAAACACCCCACGAUCCCCCUCUCCACCCCUCCUUUCUCAUCUUUAACCACAGGCCGGUCAUCAGGAAUACUUCCUAAGUUAAGCAGAGUCAUCCUGGCCGCGUCAAUCCCCUGAUCCUCUCCUCCCAUCCAGCCUGCAUCUUAUUUACCCAUAACACACCUCCGUACCUACAGUAUCCUCCAUCCCUCUACUGCUGCCACCAGAGACAGACAGACAGGCUCACAAAAAGACAGACAGACCGGUAGACAGAGAGGGAGACAGACAGACAAAGACAGACAGGCCGGCAGAGUGACAAGCAGAGAGACAAGCAGCCAGAGAGACAGACAGGUAGAGAGACAAGCAGACACAGAGACAGGCAGACAGAGAGACAGGCAGACAGACAGACAGAGACAGGAAAAGACAGACAUAGAGACAUACAGACAGGACACGCAGAGACAGACAGGCAGCAUGACAGAGAGAGACAGGCAUAGACAGGCAGACAGAGACAAGCAGACAGAGAGGCAGACAUACAAGGAGAGAGGGACAGGGAGAGAGAGACAGACAGAACGACAGAGAGACAGACACCCAGAGAAGGACAAGCAGGCAGACAGACACAAAGAGAGACAGACACACAGAGAAAUAGACA